CAUAGCAAAAGAAACACAGUGCACAUUGUUUACCACAAACACAUUCCCACAUUGACAAGAAAUCCCCAUACCCAUUCAUCUACCAAAACCAAGAACAUGUUAACUUCCAAAAAGGAACCAACUUUAUCCUCAUGUUAACUUCAUUUGCUACGAAUUCAAGAAAAAAUCUAACAUUUAAGUUCAUAGAUUCCAAAACCACAGAAAAAGAGACAAAUCUAACAUUUAAGUUCAUAGAUUCCAAAACCACAGAAAGAAGAGACAAAUCUAAGACAAUCAUUCAUCUCAAAACCAAAAGAAGACUCAUUUCAAAAGGCUUCAAGCUGAGAGAAGAAGGAA
rnacentral:lncRNA from 1 species